rnacentral:rRNA from 1 species
UACGUAGGGGCAAGCGUUGUCCGGAUUUAUUGGGCGUAAAGCGCUCGCAGGUGGUCCGUCGCGUCGUGCGUGAAAGACCCCGGCUCAACUGGGGAGGGUCGUGCGAUACGGGCGGACUGGAGGCCAGUAGGGGAGUGCGGAAUUCCCGGUGUAGCGGUGGAAUGCGUAGAGAUCCGGAGGAAGACCGGUGGCGAAGGACGG